UGGUGUAAACGUUGCUGGCGUAACUCUGU
rnacentral:piRNA from 1 species